AAUGAGGUCGCGAAAUAUUUUUCCUUUUUCCGUGCGGAAUUUUGACAUUUGCUCGCGAAAACUAGUCUGUGCGUUUGCCGUUAGAUGUCGCUUUUGACAGCUGAAAAUCGUUAUCAGCUGUUGUUUGUUUAUUUAUUUUUCAUGUUGAUAUUUUAAAAUUGAAAAACGGUGUACAUAAAACAAGCUUGUGAGUUGCUAAACGGUUUCUCCAGGUGUCUUCCUGGCAAACACGCCCGAGUAUAUCCCAGAGAAUGGUUACAGUGAUGAUGUCUGAGGUUUUGCAGGAAGUUCGAUGCACGGUUACAUCAUAUUUCACAUUAGUGAGCGCCCACAACAAUAUUGGCUGAGAAUCUGUCUUAACCGAAUGCAUGUGUGUGCUAACGUUUCGCUCUUCAUCAGAACAAGAAAAAGUAAGGAACCGAAAAGUAACUCACAUCUGCCCUAUACUUAACCUAUUGAUUCCACGCAGUUGCAAAGAUGCGAGCUCUAUGGAAAUCGAUUUCACCAUUAAACUCAGCCAAACAUGUUUGGAUACAUCGAUUUCAACAUCAAUACAAUUGCGAUGCCGACAUUUCCCCUGAACGGCAGCGGAACCUAUGGAUGCACCAUCAUGUACAAACUGGAAAGAAACACAAGUGCAACCCUAACCGAACACAUGAACAUACGAGAGAGCGGCUGUAUAAGAAAAUGGAACAAAAAAUAGUUACGAAGCCGCACACAUGCACUGCCAUGCGACAAAGAGUCUGGUUGCUAGAAUGGGACUAGAUAUUAUAACAGCUAGAGGGCACUUGCCGGUGCUAGCACGAUUCUAAACGCGCUAAAGGCAGUUAAAUUCGAGGUACCAAAACUAAACAUAAACUUGCAAACUUUCUUACAUCUAAAAAUUUGCUUAUACGAGUAUUGUCUAUCUCGCACUGAUGCAAAUUAGAUGGGCGCGUAAUUCAACGUACGGUCUUGUGGCGCAUGGCUGAAAAGUCGCAAUGUAGAUUUAAGAAAAAAAUCGCAAUACACAGUUACGAUGAAGAGCGAGCCAAUAUGUAUAAGUACCAUUUUGUGAGCAUAUACGCCAACGCAUACCUAGGAUAUACAUGUAAAGGACAGAUUCAAGGAAGAAUUCGCUACCCUACCUGCGGUAUAAACCAGUUCGUGAACUAUUGCUUUUCACAAUACAAUGGAGACAAAAUGUUUAAGCUGGUGUUGCAUUAGAAUUAAAAAAUAAAAUUUAAUUAUAUUCCAAUUAGUUGUAAACAGUUUCAAAUGAGAAAAUAGGCUCUUUACCCUAUUAUAAUAACCAAAUGAAUAAAACAAAUCAAAUUUAUAAUACCCGCGAUAUUACAUUUUGUAGCAAAAUUGAACAUUAUUGUUCGCAGCUUUGCUUAACCACAUGGCUAGUGCUAUGAUCCUAUUGACAUAUAAAAUUGUUCCUAUUAGCGACCCUCCGAAGCAUCAGCCCAAGGCAGGAAAUGAAAAAAAUAAAAAUAUUACACCAAUUCAGUACAUUUCA